AGCAACGUUUCGUCCCUCAGGAGGCAGCCCUUCCACCGCAGACGCGCGGCGGACUGCACGAGAUCCGCAUCCUCAUUUCAGUGCCGAUUGACAUAUCGUGGGGGAAUCGUCUUGAAUCGCGGCGAUCGCAACACACGGCUCGGUGGCCAGACAGCUCCAGUCCCCUUCUUAAUAACUUCAUCCGUGCACGCCUGCGGCAGGUCGUGAUUUUACGUCUCUGCGCUCAGUCUAACUAUUGUUAGCCUGGGCCCACGCUACCAACAGCAGUGCGCGCAUCCGCUCUGCUCUGGGCAAAGCUGAUAUUGCCGUGCUGUUGAUACGCGGCCAC
rnacentral:sRNA from 1 species